AGUAAUGUGUAGUCUCUUGGGCCAGAUAUUCUUCUAGGGAUUGGUGGAAAAAGAAAAUUAAAUUAAAAUAAAAAACUUCAUAAAAAACUCCUAAAUUCUCCUAUAAAUACCACACCAUCUCUUCCCCUACACCUACAUCUUUUCUCUCUCUUAGCUUACCCUCUCCUAUUCUCUGUCUCUCUCUUUCUUUCUCUUCAUUAGGGUUCUGAUUAUGUUAUGAACCUACCUUCCAUGCUUGUUCAAUUUUUUUCUCUUUCUUUUUGUUUUUGAAAAACCCUUUAUACACUGUCUUGUGGGGCAUCUUCACUCUUCAAUAUCAUGGUCCUCUUUGUAUUCUUCCACAGCUUUCUUGAACUGCAUCCAUAGAGUUCCUUUGCAUGCAUGCCAUGGCACUCUUGCUCCCACACCUUGUUUUGCGGUUCAAUAAAGCUGUGGGAAGAUACAGAUAGGUCCAACAACGAACUAGCUUAUCUCAAACUCCAGAUUCUUCCUCUAAACCUUUCUGUCAAAUUAUAUUAUUAUAUACAUAGGGAUAAGAUUAUAGUGGUGUAUUUGUUUUUUCCUUUUUCUUCUGAUUUGACUUAUUUAAAUCUUUUUCAGAUUUAAAGCAUUGACUUUUCAGAUGCAUAACUCUGUUAUGUGAUCAGAAUUCUGAUAUGCAGUCAUAUGAGAGAAUAAACUUGUACCAAUCGUGUUGAUUUGUGACGAUGAUUCUUCAACAAUUCGGCUUCUUCUUCCGGAAUUAAACCGAUCAGGUAUUGAUUCGAUCGAUCCAAAAUCAAGGAAAUUUGAGCUAACGAUUUCCAUAGAUGCGGAAUCACUGUCCCCAGAUCUUACUCUAAUUAAUUUGUUUGCCUUAAAUUCAUGCCCCUAUUUAAUUUCCUCUUAAUUAAUUUUGUGGAGCAAUCCCAGCCUCGAACUUGAGCUAUAGGAACAUCUACUGGAAGAUGGUGGUUCUUAAUUUGUACAUCAACAUUAUUGAUUCGUGAUGAGGCAUCGCGUAGGCAUAGUCGUUUGAUUUGAAAAUAUUUUUUCUUUUAGUUUUCGUGUCGUAGCUAGCUCUAGUGCUGUCUGUGGUGAAUAUAAUAAUUAUAAUAAUUUGUGCUUGUUAGCUGCUUGUGCUUUUGUCUUGAGCUCACUCGCUCACUCACUCACCUUAUUAGCCUUUUUCUUUUGUUUUGAAAUGGUCUACUGUGUAGCCUCCAAUGCAGGCAGAAGUCACAGUGGAUGAAUGGCCAUCAUUGAGAUUUCUCCAUAGAACAUGUCUCAUUCAAUUCAUUAAACCUUUGAUCUGUGUUUGUACUGUUUUAGUCGGCAAAGUCACAUAUGGUCGAGUAAUUUAAUAUAUAAAUUCCAGGCUGCAGAUUCAGCAUAAGCAGAAUUACAGAUUGUUAGACAAUGGACCACAGAGAGGUGACCAUACUGCCUUUAUCUCUCGUAUGGAACUUCCAACAACUUAUGAAUGCUUUAAAGCCAUUGGUUGGUGACCCUAGCAAGAGGUUAGAUGAAGCUUUUAUGGAAAAUAUUAACCAUAGAAUUCUAAAAAAUUAACCUCCACGACUGUAUUAUGGUGAUUCUUGCUAUAGAACGAACAAGGCUACCUAAAACCAGUGCAGGAGCUGCUUGUGAAGGAAACUAGGGUUUUCCUUUUCCCAAUUAAGUCAGGGACAGCCAUGCUGCGGGAAAUGGGAAUUUUAGACCACCUGCGAGUACUGUUUCUUUCUUUAUCUUGCUUCCCUGUGCCGAGAAUCAGUUCGAAUGAGACCCCUUUUGUUUCUCCCGAAAGAUUUUGAAAUUAGAAACUGUAAAAGCAAUUUCAAGUUAUAGAUAAAGUAAUCGAUCUUGCAUGGCCUAGAAAAAGAAGUGGCCGAUCCCGAUAUUAAUAUCAAUUUUCCACAA